rnacentral:rRNA from 1 species
GAGAGGACAUCGGAGGGAUCAUUACAGAGUUAUCCAGCUCCCAAACCCAUGUGAACUUAUCUCUUUGUUGCCUCGGCGCAAGCUACCCGGGACCUCGCGCCCCGGGCGGCCCGCCGGCGGACAAACCAAAACUCUUGUUAUCUUAGUUGAUUAUCUGAGUGUCUUAUUUAAUAAGUCAAAACUUUCAACAACGGAUCUCUUGGUUCUGGCAUCGAUGAAGAACGCAGCGAAAUGCGAUAAGUAAUGUGAAUUGCAGAAUUCAGUGAAUCAUCGAAUCUUUGAACGCACAUUGCGCCCAUUAGUAUUCUAGUGGGCAUGCCUGUUCGAGCGUCAUUUCAACCCCUAAGCACAGCUUAUUGUUGGGAACCUACGGCUUCGUAGUUCCUCAAAGACAUUGGCGGAGUGGCAGUGGUCCUCUGAGCGUAGUAAUCUUUUAUCUCGCUUCUGUUAGGUGCUGCCCCCCCGGCCGUAAAACCCCCAAUUUUUUCUGGUUGACCUCGGAUCAGGUAGAAAUACCCGCUGAACUUAAGCAUAUCAUAA